rnacentral:piRNA from 1 species
UCCCAGGAUCCUCAGAGAUAUUGGGGUGAA